UUGACCUCGGAUCAGGUAGGGAUACCCGCUGAACUUAAGCAUAUCAUGAGCGGGGGAGAGAGAAAAAA
rnacentral:rRNA from 1 species